rnacentral:rRNA from 1 species
UACGAAGGGGCUAGCGUUGCUCGGAAUUACUGGGCGUAAAGCGCACGUAGGCGGCUCUUUAAGUCGAGGGUGAAAUCCGUGGAGCUCAACUCCAGAACUGCCUUCGAUACUGAAGAGCGUCGAGUCCGGGAGAGGUGAGUGGAACUGCGAAGUGCAGAGGUGAAAUUCGUAGAUAUUCGCAAGAACACCAGUGGCGGAAGGCGGCUCACUGGCCCGGUACUGACGACUGAGGUGGCGAAAGCGUGGGAGCAACAGG